UACGGAGGAUGCGAGCGUUAUCCGGAUUUAUUGGGUUUAAAGGGUGCGUAGGCGGAUCGUCAAGUCAGUGGUCAAAUUGAGGGGCUCAACCCCUUCCCGCCAUUGAAACUGGCGAUCUUGAGUGGAAGAGAAGUAUGCGGAAUGCGUGGUGUAGCGGUGAAAUGCAUAGAUAUCACGCAGAACCCCGAUUGCGAAGGCAGCAUGCCGGCUUCCGACUGACGCUGAAGCACGAAAGCGUGGGGAUCGAACAGG
rnacentral:rRNA from 1 species